UACGAAGGGUGCAAGCGUUAAUCGGAAUUACUGGGCGUAAAGCGCGCGUAGGUGGUUCAGUAAGUUGGAAGUGAAAUCCCCGGGCUCAACCUGGGAACUGCUUUCAAAACUGCUGAGCUAGAGUACGGUAGAGGGUGGUGGAAUUUCCUGUGUAGCGGUGAAAUGCGUAGAUAUAGGAAGGAACACCAGUGGCGAAGGCGACCACCUGGACUGAUACUGACACUGAGGUGCAAAAGCGUGGGGAGCAAACAGG
rnacentral:rRNA from 1 species